AGGAGAUGUACCAUAAUAUUCCUUCCAGCUCAGAUCUGCUGAGUUUCUAAAUAGCUGGGAAAUGUUAUAGACGAGAACAAGCUUCACUUCUGAAAGACAAAUGGAGGUAGAUGGAUGUUACAGAAGGAGCCUGCAUUCAGUGGGGGCUAACGAAGGAAGAAGACAUUGGGUGGCUCUCCAGGAAUGGACCUCAAGAGAGAGCUUGCUCAGAAAGCCGCUGCUUCGCGCUACUGGGAACGUUCUUUGUGCCGCAGAUGGCGUUUCGGGAAAGACACUCGUGUGCUCUCCUCUCCUUGUUCUGAGGCGUAAGCAGAGCUGGACAUCUCACUGCCGUUGAGUGGCGGUCUGUGGUUCCUAGAGCACAGUGUAGCUUAGGCUUUUUGUUACCAGAAACAUUGCUGUUCAGAAAUGAGAUGCCUUAUAAUUCUGAUAACCCUCAACAAUUUGGAUAUCCUUUUAUAAAAAAUAAAAUCAACACCGAUGACGCUAUCUUAAAAUUGGGCUAUCUUUGGAGCCGUGCGUAUAUGGUAACAUGGAGUUUGCUUUGUGCUGAAAACAACUUUCCAAAAUCCAGGUCUCCCCCUCAGCAGUCAUGCAACAAACAGCCAGUAGAUGGCACCAUGAGCAUCUUAUAUCAGAUCCAAGGCCGAGGACAUUUAUCUUCUCAUAGCUCUUCUCAAAAUAUUAAGCAAA